GGGCGGGAAAGAGGAGGUGGGCGGGAGGGAGAGGAACGAGGACGCGAGCUACCCGCGCGCGCGCCGCUUAGGCGCCUUAGCCCGCCUUUGCAGCGCGCGCUGGGCUCAGAACGGUUCUGAGCUCCGAGGAGGUCGGGGGCGAGCGGGUGUGCACAGGGAAGGCGCGUGCGCGCGUGCGGGGCGGGGAUGGGCUGGGGGCGGCGCGUGGUCUCAGUUUGCGAUCGGGGGGCGGGCGCCGAGCUGCCUACCUCUGAAGUCAAAAGGCGGCGCAGCGGCCGCCGAGCUCCGCGGCGGCAAGAACAUGGUACGCCGGCUCUUGAUCACCGUGCGGAUUCGGCGCGCGUACGGCCCGCCGCGAGUCAGGGCUUUCGUCGUGCACAUCGCGCGGCCAGCGGGUGAGUGGGCAGCGCCGGGUGUGCGGGCCGCUGCGGACCUCGUGCUGAUGCUAGUGAGGAGCCAGCGCAGAGCGCAGCAACCGCAUCCUAGACCAGGUCAUGAUGAUGGGCAGCGCCCGCGUGGCCGAGCUGCUGCUGCUCCACGGCGCGGACCCCAACUGCGCGGACCCCGCCACCCUCACCCGACCCGUGCACGACGCCGCCCGGGAGGGCUUCCUGGACACGUUGGUGGUGCUGCACCGAGCCGGGGCGCGGCUGGACGUGCGGGACGCCCGGGGCCGCCUGCCCGUGGACCUGGCUGAGGAGCGGGGCCACCGCGACGUCGCCGGGUACCUGCGCGCGGCUGCAGCGGGGCACCGAAGGCGGUAGCCACGCCCGCGCAGACCCCGCGGAAGGUCCGGCAGACGCUACGGACCUAAAGAAUCGUUGACAUCUACAGAUACUUCGGCAACAUAUUUUUCAGUCGUAGAAGUCCUAUUCUUCCCUGCUUAGGUCCAAUUUAUCAAAUAAUGCUUUUAAAAAUUGUAGCUGCCUUCCCCUUUCCUUAAAUUUCCAUUUUUCUAUAAAAGUUA